CCUACGGGGGGCAGCAGUGGGGAAUAUUGCACAAUGGGCGCAAGCCUGAUGCAGCCAUGCCGCGUGUGUGAAGAAGGCCUUCAGGUUGUAAAGCACUUUCAGCGGGGAGGAAGGCGGUGAGGUUAAUAACCUCAUCGAUUGACGUUACCCGCAGAAGAAGCACCGGCUAACUCCGUGCCAGCAGCCGCGGUAAUACGGAGGGUGCAAGCGUUAAUCGGAAUUACUGGGCGUAAAGCGCACGCAGGCGGUCUGUCAAGUCGGAUGUGAAAUCCCCGGGCUCAACCUGGGAACUGCAUUCGAAACUGGCAGGCUAGAGUCUUGUAGAGGGGGGUAGAAUUCCAGGUGUAGCGGUGAAAUGCGUAGAGAUCUGGAGGAAUACCGGUGGCGAAGGCGGCCCCCUGGACAAAGACUGACGCUCAGGUGCGAAAGCGUGGGGAGCAAACAGGAUUAGAUACCCUUGUAGUC
rnacentral:rRNA from 1 species